rnacentral:rRNA from 1 species
CCCUUAGAUGUCCUGGGCUGCACGCGCGCUACACUGAUGCGUCCAAUAAGCACCUAACCUAAUCCGAAGGGACCGGGUAACCUUAGCAAAGCGCAUCGUGAUGGGGAUAGAUUAUUGCAAUUAUUAGUCUUGAACGAGGAAUUCCUAGUAAGCGCAAGUCAUCAGCUUGUGUUGAUUACGUCCCUGCCCUUUGUACACACCGCCCGUCGCUCCUACCGAUUGAGUGCUCCGGUGAACAAUUUGGACUGCUUUGAUUCGAUUAGAAUUUGAAGCGGAAAGUUUAGUGAACCUUAUCACUUAGAGGAAGGAGAAGUCGUAACA